GCAUAAGCGCACAGCUUCGCAUGAAGCAGUGUGAAAAACUCCGGUGGUAUACGAUGGAUCCGCGUCUGAUUAGCUGGUUGGCGGGGUAAAGGCCCACCAAGGCGACGAUCAGUAGCCGGCCUGAGAGGGUGAACGGCCACAUUGGGACUGAGACACGGCCCAAACUCCUACGGGAGGCAGCAGUGGGGAAUAUUGCACAAUGGGGGAAACCCUGAUGCAGCGACGCCGCGUGAGUGAAGAAGUAUUUCGGUAUGUAAAGCUCUAUCAGCAGGGAAGAAAAUGACGGUACCUGACUAAGAAGCCCCGGCUAACUACGUGCCAGCAGCCGCGGUAAUACGUAGGGGGCAAGCGUUAUCCGGAUUUACUGGGUGUAAAGGGAGCGUAGACGGCAGCGCAAGUCUGGAGUGAAAUCCCAUGGCUUAACCAUGGAACUGCUUUGGAAACUGUGCAGCUAGAGUGCAGGAGAGGUAAGCGGAAUUCCUAGUGUAGCGGUGAAAUGCGUAGAUAUUAGGAGGAACACCAGUGGCGAAGGCGGCUUACUGGACUGUAACUGACGUUGAGGCUCGAAAGCGUGGGGAGCAAACAGGAUUAGAUACCCUGGUAGUCCACGCUGUAAACGAUGAUUACUAGGUGU
rnacentral:rRNA from 1 species